rnacentral:rRNA from 1 species
ACUCAAAGGAAUUGACGGGGGCCCGCACAAGCAGUGGAUCAUGUGGUUUAAUUCGAAGCAACGCGCAAAACCUUACCUGGAUUUGACAUCCUCGGACCGCAGCAGAAAUGUUGUUUUCGUAGCAAUACGACCGAGAGACAGGUGUUGCAUGGCUGUCGUCAGCUCGUGUGGUGACAUGUUGGGUUAAGUCCCGCAACGAGCGCAACCCCUAUCUUUAGUUGCCAGCAUUGAGUUGGGCACUCUAGAGAGACUGCCGUGGUGAACACGGAGGAAGGUGGGGAUGACGUCAAGUCCUCAUGGCCUUUAUAUCCAGGGCUACACACGUGAUACAAUGGUCGGUACAGAGGGAAGCGAAAGGGUGACCUGGAGCCAAUCUCAAAAAGCCGAUCUCAGUUCGGAUUGAAGUCUGCAAUUCGACUUCAUGAAGGUGGAAUUGCUAGUAAUCGCGGAUCAGCACGCCGCGGUGAAUACGUUCCCGGGCCUUGUACACACCGCCCGU